rnacentral:rRNA from 1 species
UACAGAGGAGCCAAGCGUUGUCCGGAUUGACUGGGCGUAAAGCGCACGCAGGCGGUUGCGCGCGUGGGGGGUGAAAUCUGGCCGCUUAACGGCCAGGCGCCAUCCCAUACGGCGCGACUGGAGUGAUGCAGAGGUCGAUGGAAUUGCCGGUGUAGCGGUGAAAUGCGUAGAUAUCGUAAGGAAGACCAGUGGCGAAGGCGGGUCUCUGGACAGUUCCUGACGCUGAGGCACGAAGGUCAGGGGAGCAAACGGG